rnacentral:rRNA from 1 species
UAAACGACUCUCGGCAACGGAUAUCUCGGCUCACGCAUCGAUGAAGAACGUAGCAAAAUGCGAUACUUGGUGUGAAUUGCAGAAUCCCGUGAACCAUCGAGUUUUUGAACGCAAGUUGCGCCCGAAGCCAUUCGGCCAAGGGCACGUCUGCCUGGGCGUCACGC